rnacentral:rRNA from 1 species
GACGAACGCUGGCGGCGUGCCUAAUACAUGCAAGUCGAACGCUUAAGCGAGGAGCUUGCUCUUCUUGGAUGAGUUGCGAACGGGUGAGUAACGCGUAGGUAACCUGCCUUGUAGCGGGGGAUAACUAUUGGAAACGAUAGCUAAUACCGCAUAACAAUGGAUGACACAUGUCAUUUAUUUGAAAGGGGCAAUUGCUCCACUACAAGAUGGACCUUCGUUGUAUUAGCUAGUAGGUGAGGUAACGGCUCACCUAGGCGACGAUACAUAGCCGACCUGAGAGGGUGAUAGGCCAAACUGGGACGGAGACAAGGCACAGACUCCUACGGGAGGCAGCAGUAGGGAAUCUUCGGCAAUGGGGGCAACACUGACCGAGCAACGCCGCGUGAGUGAAGAAGGGUUUCGGAUCGUAAAGCUCUGUUGUAAGUCAAGAACGAGAGUGAGAGUGGAAAGUUCACACUGUGACGGUAGCUUACCAGAAAGGGACGGCUAACUACGUG